UUCUUGGAGAGUUUGAUCCUGGCUCAGGACGAACGCUGGCGGCGUGCCUAAUACAUGCAAGUCGAGCGAAUCAAUAGGAGCUUGCUCCUGUUGGUUAGCGGCGGACGGGUGAGUAACACGUGGGCAACCUGCCUGUAAGACUGGGAU
rnacentral:rRNA from 1 species